rnacentral:rRNA from 1 species
AUUGAACGCUGGCGGCAUGCCUUACACAUGCAAGUCGAACGGCAGCACGGGAGCAAUCCUGGUGGCGAGUGGCGAACGGGUGAGUAAAGUAUCGGAACGUGCCCAGUCGUGGGGGAUAACGUAGCGAAAGUUACGCUAAUACCGCAUACGAUCUAUGGAUGAAAGCGGGGGAUCGCAAGACCUCGCGCGAUUGGAGCGGCCGAUACGGGAUUAGGUAGUUGGUGGGGUAAAGGCUCCCCAAGCCGACGAUCUGUAGCUGGUCUGAGAGGACGACCAGCCACACUGGGACUGAGACACGGCCCAGACUCCUACGGGAGGCAGCAGUGGGGAAUUUUGGACAAUGGGCGAAAGCCUGAUCCAGCCAUGCCGCGUGCAGGAUGAAGGCCUUCGGGUUGUAAACUGCUUUUGUACGGAACGAAAAGGUUUGGCCUAAUAAGCUGAGCUCAUGACGGUACCGUAAGAAUAAGCACCGGCUAACUACGUGCCAGCCGCCGCCGUAA